UGACGUGAGCCAGUUUCCUCAGGAUAGACGACAGCAGGUCUCUCAACCAGGGGGGUUGAGGAAUGACAAAAACAUCCUCUCCCUCCAUACCUGCCCCCGGCCAUGGCCUUGUCCCCUCUCCAUGCUCCGACGCUUUUUGCAGGAAGGCCAGGUUUCCUGUGUGAUGGAGGAGAGGGGGAUGAGGGAGAGGGGAAGAGGGAUGCGACGGCUGGGCUUGUGCACGUAGAGAUGGUACAGAUUGACUUUAUGUUUUAGCUGUGUGUGGAUGUUGUUGUGUUAUGUCGUUUUCUGCGCAGGUGCAGCUUGAUGAGAUCCAUGAAGACAAGAUGCAGCAGUGGAGGAGGUGGAGGAAAGACAAUGGGACUAAGAACCAGAGCAGCCUUCUUCUACAUGAACAAACAUGUUGCAGGAGAAGAGGAGGAUGGGGGGAGAAUAGUGGAGGGGAGUGGAGUCUUCUACAUACACAACCCUCUACACAGCAGUGUCUUAUUUCCUGGAUUACUGACCCACUGAAUGUGGCCCUGGCUCAAAUCACAAGACUUACUUCACUUCAGAGAAUGAGUUUGCUGUUUCCUGUCUUUGGAUGGACCCUGAUCUUAUUGGCUACCGAAAAGGGGUGUGGUCGUUGUGGAGCAAACUAAUGAGAGAGAACAGUGGCAUGAAGACUUUCAGUGCUGUCUCUCCUCAGGUGAGAGGGUCCCCCAGGCCAGUCUUUUCGCCCCCCAUUGCAACCUUGCCAUCCCCCAGCCCUGCAUCAUCAGAAAGGGACGAACCAGGACAUGGGAGGAAUGUGUCUUUCUUUGAUGAUGUCACUGUCAAUGUGUUGGAUCAGGGAUUUGGGCCUGGUCUCCCCGGGAAGCAGUAUAUCCUCCUCGUCGGACUCAUUAAAGAAAAAGUCUUUGUCCAGUUCGAGGAUUCACCGCUGGGGAUAAGAAGACUAAGUGUUGUCAUGACUGUCCUGAUCAGGUCAGGUUACAGGAGAACACAACCCUACAGAUUAUCUCUCAACCCCAACAGAGGAGGAGAGAUCUAGGGGUCUGAAGAUGAGUAUUAUGACCCCUCACACCCCUGGAUCCACCGCUGGGAAAGGAAGACUAAGUGUGUUUGCUGAAUGAAGACAAACACCCAAAUAAACAGAAGAGUUCAACAGUGGGACCUUGCUGUUUCACCGCUAGUGAACACUACACAUUCUCCCUUUACAAUUUAUAGACCAGGGGUCCAACUACAGGGGUGUAAACCAUCCCUUUUCAAGUUGCUGUACCACCAAGAGUCAGUUGUUGACCUUUCAGGGCUAUGUCUGCCUGUAUCCCAAUAAGAAUUAGUCUAGAACACAUUAACAGUAACAGAGGGGUCUGAUGACCACAACAUAACAACAAGGAUUAGUCUAGAACACAUUAACAGUAACAGAGGGGUCUGAUGACCACAACAUAACAACAAGGAUUAGUCUAGAACACAUUAACAGUAACAGAGGGGUCUGAUGACCACAACAUAACAACAAGGAUUAGUCUAGAACACAUUAACAGUAACAGAGGGGUCUGAUGACCACAACAUAACAAUAAGGAUUAGUCUAGAACACAUUAACAGUAACCGAGGUGUCUGAUGACCACAACAUACCAUAACAUAACACACACACACUGAGAUGUGAAUGCAAAUAGAAAAAUAAACAGUUAAAAUAGAUUAACCAACAUAAAAAAUCAUGUUAUAUCCCUCUGACAAUUAAUGGGCAGGUGCAACAAGUGGACUGACAUGUGGAAAGCCUCUACUUGAUUUUGACAAAGUGCAGUUUUAGCCCUGUUUAUACCUGCUUCUAACAGUCUUGAGCAUGUCCACAUUCUCAUUGUGAUCUAAUUGUGAUAUUAUCUUCCUGACCACCUCCAGAGCGGUUUUUCAAAUAAUUUGCAUAAUUUGCAUACAGGGAGGGACCAUGAUAUCUGGUCACAAUGUGGACAAAGUGGACGGAGAAGAGACACAUUUAUGCAGUGGCAUAAAGUACUGAAGUAAAAAAUACUUUAAAGUACUACAUCAGUCAUUUUUUGGGGGUAUCUGUACUUUACUAUUUAUAUUUUUGACAGCUUUUACUUUUACUUCAUUUCAUUCCUAAUGAAAAUAAUGUACUUUUUACUCCAUACGUUUUCUCUGACACCCAAAAGUACUCGUUACAUUCUGAAUACUUAGAAGGACAGGAAAAUGGUUAUCCCUACUGCCUCUGAUCUGGCGGAUUCACUAAACACAAAUGCUUCAUUUGUAAAUGAUGUCUGAGUGCUGGAGCUGGAGUAAAGAGUAAGAGUAAAUAAAUAAUC